AUUGAACGCUGGCGGCAUGCCUUACACAUGCAAGUCGAACGGUAACAGGUUAAGCUGACGAGUGGCGAACGGGUGAGUAAUGUAUCGGAACGUGCCCAGUCGUGGGGGAUAACUGCUCGAAAGAGCAGCUAAUACCGCAUACGACCUGAGGGUGAAAGCGGGGGAUCGCAAGACCUCGCGCGAUUGGAGCGGCCGAUAUCUGAUUAGGUAGUUGGUGGGGUAAAGGCCUACCAAGCCUACGAUCUGUAGCUGGUCUGAGAGGACGACCAGCCACACUGGGACUGAGACACGGCCCAGACUCCUACGGGAGGCAGCAGUGGGGAAUUUUGGACAAUGGACGCAAGUCUGAUCCAGCCAUGCCGCGUGCGGGAAGAAGGCCUUCGGGUUGUAAACCGCUUUUGUCAGGGAAGAAAAGGUUCUGGUUAAUACCUGGGACUCAUGACGGUACCUGAAGAAUGAGCACCGGCUAACUACGUGCCAGCCGCCGCCGUAAAAC
rnacentral:rRNA from 1 species